rnacentral:rRNA from 1 species
ACGAACGCUGGCGGCACGCUUAACACAUGCAAGUCGAACGAGAGAAGAGAAGCUUGCUUUUCUGAUCUAGUGGCGGACGGGUGAGUAACACGUGAGCAAUCUGCCUUUCAGAGGGGGAUACCGAUUGGAAACGAUCGUUAAUACCGCAUAACAUAAUUGAACCGCAUGAUUUGAUUAUCAAAGAUUUAUCGCUGAAAGAUGAGCUCGCGUCUGAUUAGCUAGUUGGUAAGGUAACGGCUUACCAAGGCGACGAUCAGUAGCCGGACUGAGAGGUUGAUCGGCCACAUUGGGACUGAGACACGGCCCAGACUCCUACGGGAGGCAGCAGUGGGGAAUAUUGCACAAUGGAGGAAACUCUGAUGCAGCGAUGCCGCGUGAGGGAAGAAGGUUUUAGGAUUGUAAACCUCUGUCUUCAGGGACGAAAAAUGACGGUACCUGAGGAGGAAGCUCCGGCUAACUACGUGCCAGCAGCCGCGGUAAUACGUAGGGAGCGAGCGUUGUCCGGAAUUACUGGGUGUAAAGGGAGCGUAGGCGGGAUCGCAAGUCAGAUGUGAAAACUAUGGGCUUAACCCAUAAACUGCAUUUGAAACUGUGGUUCUUGAGUGAAGUAGAGGUAAGCGGAAUUCCUAGUGUAGCGGUGAAAUGCGUAGAUAUUAGGAGGAACAUCAGUGGCGAAGGCGGCUUACUGGGCUUUAACUGACGCUGAGGCUCGAAAGCGUGGGGAGCAAACAGGAUUAGAUACCCUGGUAGUCCACGCCGUAAACGAUGAUUACUAGGUGUGGGGGGACUGACCCCUUCCGUGCCGCAGCAAACGCAAUAAGUAAUCCACCUGGGGAGUACGACCGCAAGGUUGAAACUCAAAGGAAUUGACGGGGGCCCGCACAAGCAGUGGAGUAUGUGGAUUAAUUCGAAGCAACGCGAAGAACCUUACCAGGUCUUGACAUCGUAUGCAUAGCUCAGAGAUGAGUGAAAUCUCUUCGGAGACAUAUAGACAGGUGGUGCAUGGUUGUCGUCAGCUCGUGUCGUGAGAUGUUGGGUUAAGUCCCGCAACGAGCGCAACCCUUACUGUUAGUUGCUACGCAAGAGCACUCUAGCAGGACUGCCGUUGACAAAACGGAGGAAGGUGGGGAUGACGUCAAAUCAUCAUGCCCCUUAUGACCUGGGCCUCACACGUACUACAAUGGCUGUCAACAGAGGGUAGCAAAGCCGCGAGGUGGAGCAAACCCCUAAAAGCAGUCUUAGUUCGGAUUGUAGGCUGCAACCCGCCUACAUGAAGUCGGAAUUGCUAGUAAUCGCAGAUCAGCAUGCUGCGGUGAAUACGUUCCCGGGCCUUGUACACACCGCCCGUCACGCCAUGGGAGUCGGUAACACCCGAAGCCUGUAGUCUAACCGCAAGGAGGACGCAGUCGAAGGUGGGAUUGAUGACUGGGGUG